rnacentral:lncRNA from 1 species
UGGAGAACCAGGAAAAACAGUGGUGUAAUUCAGUCAACUCCAAAGGUGAGAUGGGGGAGGGAGAUGGGGAGAGACUGAAGUAAGUCCCAGGUCAAGUCAAAUGUUUGAGAACCAGGUGUGCUGAUUUCUGAGAAGGGGAGAAGAUAAAUGGCCUAGCUCUGAAAGAGAGGGUCUGAGACCCUCUGAUUUUUCUUGGAAUCCCCAGGAGUUAGCAAAAUCUGUGCAGCAGCCAUUGCAUCUUCUAGCAGGAAAGUUUCUACCAAAGACCUUUCCAGUAUCAACAUAUGAAGAAGAAGAAAGAAACUGGCUGUUACCGAUCUCACAGUCUUUCUGAUGGACAAAAGUGACAAAGCAUGAAGACUGAAGACGACAGGAAUUUUAUAUUUAGUAACAUUUUGGCUACAUAGGCCCCUGACAGUCUGAUUCAGA